UACAGAGGUCCCAAGCGUUGUUCGGAUUUACUGGGCGUAAAGGGUGCGUAGGUGGUCGGGUAAGUCUCAUGUGAAAUCUCCAAGCUCAACUUGGAAAUGGCAUGGGAUACUAUUCGGCUAGAGGAUUGGAGGGGGGACUGGAAUUCCCGGUGUAGCAGUGAAAUGCGUAGAUAUCUGGAGGAACACCGGUGGCGAAGGCGGCGUUCUGGACUGCAACUGACACUGAGGAACGAAAGCCAGGGGAGCAAACGGG
rnacentral:rRNA from 1 species